CCUACGGGUGGCAGCAGUGAGGAAUAUUGGUCAAUGGGCUUACGCCUGAACCAGCCAAGUCGCGUGAGUGAAGAAGUAAUUCGGUAUGUAAAGCCCUGUCAGCAGGGAAGAAGAAAGCCGGUACCUGACCAAGAAGCCCCGCCUAACUACGUGCCAGCAGCCGCGGUAAUACGUAGGGGGCAUGCGUUAUCCGGAUUUACUGGGGGUAAAGGGAGCGUAGGGGGCAGGGGAAGUCUGGGGUGAAAGUCAGGGGCCGAACCCCUGGGCAGCCGUUGAAACUGUUCGGCUGGAGUGAAGGAGAGGUAUGUGGAAUGCCUGGUGUAGCGGUGAAAUGCGUAGAUAUUAGGAGGAACACCAGUGGCGAAGGCGGCUUACUGGACUUUAACUGACGCUGAGGCACGAAAGCGUGGGGAGCAAACAGGAUUAGAUACCCGUGUAGUC
rnacentral:rRNA from 1 species